GCCUGGGUGGCUCAGUGAGUUGAGCGUCUGACUUCGGCUCGGGUCAUGAUCUUGGGGUUUGUGGGUUCAAGCCCCACAUCAGGCU
rnacentral:tRNA from 1 species